UUGACAACAAAACUGCCACAAACCCCGAUGUAGGACCAGUCAUGCCAUAGACUUCUAAAGGCCUGUGGCGUGCACACCUUCAGUGAAAGCACAGGUGCACACCAACUAGCAAGUCGGCAGGGGUGAACAAUGGGGUGAACGCGUCAUAUAAACCAACAAACAAAAACGUCUCGCCUGUCGGGUCCAUUUUUGUAGUUUGACGCGCUGUUUAAAAAUCUCAAACCAUAUGACAAAGGCACAUUUGUUCACGUGUCUGGAGCUGCUGGAGUAGCAUGGUGGCGCAAGCACGACGAAGAUGUACCGAGGAGAGAACGUGAACAGUGUUUUUUCUGUCUGAACCAAUGAUGAACGCUACGGCUACUACAAAAAUGUGGUCAAGGGAAAUUAUGGAGGAGAACUGCGGUUGAAAUAUGAUUCAUUGAUUUGCUCUUAGCUUGGAGCUUGAAUUUCAGACAGAACAACUUCAAAGCAAUGGAAAGACACACAGCUGACCCAUCACAAUCUGAUCAUCAGCAGCACUGACACAUUGGUUGCUUGUGACUAUGAUGGUUAUCCACUCAGACUGUGUUUGUCUCGCCUGAGCUAAUUUCAGCAUGACCUUUGUCACUAUCAUCUGAAACCAAGAUGCUAGUCUGAAUACACACUCUGUUCUUGUCAGUGUCAGUGACACUUGAAGCAAUUCUAUAUUUCUGUCAGACAUGUCAGACCAAUUGUAUAAUUCCCUCAUUUUAGAACUAUUAAAGCUUAAAAUACAGCAAAAUCCAGUCAAUGAUUAAUAAAUGAUGAAACCU
rnacentral:lncRNA from 1 species